GCCUCGUGCACAGGGACAAAACUGAGGUGAAAAUGACGAGUUUUGUGGGCCAGCCACAACACAGAGGAUGUAAGGCCGUUACAAGACAACAUGGAAUUCCCCAGUAUCUCCAUGGCAACGUUCUAUCCACUUGCUGGCGUCGACACGAGGCACGGGCGAGAGGCGAGGUCGCGGCGGUUUCUUGUGGGUCAUUUUCGGUACAGCUCCGGCGCUUGAAGCCCCGUCCGAUGGACUGGUUUACCAGUGCGACCUUUUGGCUGGGUGUUGGGCAUUUGACCCACGUCCUAAUGUGGGGCAUUGUCGCUAUUGUUGAAGCCUACUUGAGUGGCCAGAAAUCCAGGGCAUCCAGAACAAUCCACCACCUCCUCCCGCGGCAAACGCAGCUUUAGCCGUUGUUGCCCAGGAAGAAUCUGAGGAAAGUGACCGUUAGACUCUGGAACCCUAGGACACCAGUCCAGGAGAGAUGGCCUAUUUCAGACAAUGCAUCUAAGGAUGAAUAUAUCAGUUGUGUUCACUGAAAUAUUAAAACACAACUAAUGUUAGAAAAAUUGUA